UUAAACCUUACCCUAGCCCCAUAUCCGAAUACCUACCUAAUAUUACCUUCAGGAAACCCGAACACCCCAAAUAUUUUUUUUUCUUUUUCUUUUUUUUUUUGUCUAACUAACUCCCAAAGGUCUGAAACAUGUUCCUUAAAAAAUAUUGGACAGUUAUUUUAACCCUCACGCCAAAAACCUUAAACCUAACCCUAGCCCCAAAACCUAAUACCCGGGUAUUUCCUUCAGGAAGCCCUAACACCCCAAAUAUAUUUUUUUCAUUUUUUUUUUUGGUCUAACUAACUCCAAAAGGUCGGAAAAGAGUUCCUACAAAGGUUUUGGACGGUGAUUUUAACCCUAACGCCAAAAACCUUUAAACCUAAUCCUUGCCCCAAAACCUAAUACCCGGGUAUUACCUUCAGGAAGCCCGAACACCCCAAAAUUUUUUUUUCUCUUUCUUUUUUUUUUUUUGUCUAACUAACUCCCAGAGGUCUGAAAGAUGUUCCUUAAAAAAUAUUGGACAGUGAUUUUAACCCUAACGCCAAAAACCUAAAACAUUACCCUAGCCCAGAAACCUAGUAUUACCUUCAGUAAGCCUGAAAACCCCAAAUAUUUUUUUUCAUUUUUCGGUUUUUUUUUGGUCUAACUAACUCCAAAAGGUUGGAAAAUAGUUCCUACAAAGGUUUUGGACAGUGAUUUUAACCCUAACGCCAAAAACCUUAAACCUUACUAUAGCCCCAUAACCUAAUACCCGGGUAUUACCUUCAGGAAGCUUGAACACCCCAAAUAUUUUCUUUUCAUUUUACAUUUUUUUUUUGGUGUAACCUACUCCAAAAGGUCUGAAACAUGUUCCUAAAAAGGUUUUGGACAGUGAUUUUAACCCUAACACCAAAAACCUUAAACCUUACCCUAGCCCCAAAACCUAAUACCCGGGUAUUACCUUCAGGAAGCUUGAACACCCCAAAUAUUUUCUUUUCAUUUUACAUUUUUUUUUGUCUAACUAACUCCAAAAGGUUGGAAAAGAGUUCCUACACAGGUUUUGGACAGUGAUUUUAACCCUAACACCAAAAACCUUAAACCUUACCCUAGCCCCAAAACCUAAUACCCGGGUAUUACCUUCAGUAAGCCCGAACACCCCAAAUAUUUUUUUUUCAUUUUACAUUUUUUUUUGGUGUAACCAACUCUAAAAGGUCUUAAACAUGUUCCUAAAAAGGUUUUGGACACUGAUUUUAACUCUAACACCAAAAACCUUUAACCUUACCCUAGCCCCAUAACCUAAUACCCGGGUAUUACCUUCAGGAAACCCGAACACCCCAAAUAUAUAUUUUUUUCUUUUUCUUUUUUUUUUUGUCUAACUAACUCCCAAAGGUCUGAAACAUGUUCCUUAAAAAAUAUUGGACAGUUAUUUUAACCCUAACGCCAAAAACCUUAAACCUUACUAUAGCCCCAUAACCUAAUACCCGGGUAUUACCUUCAGGAAGCUUGAACACCCCAAAUAUUUUCUUUUCAUUUUACAUUUUUUUUUGGUGUAACCAACUCCAAAAGGUCUUAAACAUGUUCCUAAAAAGGUUUUGGACACUGAUUUUAACUCUAACGCCAAAAACCUUAAACCUUACCCUAGCCCCAUAUCCUAAUACCUACCUAAUAUUACCUUCAGGAAACCCGAACACCCCAAAUAUUUUUUUUUCUUUUUUUUUUUUUUUUUGUCUAACUAACUCCCAAAGGUCUGAAACAUGUUCCUUAAAAAAUAUUGGACAGUUAUUUUAACCCUCACGCCAAAAACCUUAAACCUAACCCUAGCCCCAAAACCUAAUACCCGGGUAUUUCCUUCAGGAAGCCCGAACACCCCAAAUAUAUUUUUUUCAUUAGGGCCCGAGCGUAGCUGCUAAGCAGCUGCGAGAGCCCUAUUAUUCCCCAAGUGGUUUUUUAGGGCCCGAGCCAGCUGCAGAGCAGCCGGGCGUAGGCCCUAUUAUUCCCCAAGUGGUUUUUCUUUGUUUCUUUCUUUCUUUCUUUCUUUCUUUCUUUAGGGCCCGAGCGUAGCUGCUAAGCAGCUGCGAGAGCCCUCUUGUUCCUGCAUGUUUCCUUCUUUUGUUAUUAGGGCCCGAGCGUAGCUGCUAAGCAGCUGCGAGAGCCCUAUUAUUCCCCAAGGGGUUUUUCUUUGUUUCUUUAGGGCCCGAGCGUAGCUGCUAAGCAGCUGCGAGAGCCCUAUUAUUCCCCAAGGGGUUUUUCUUUGUUUCUUUCUUUCUUUCUUUCUUCUUUUUCCUCCCCUUUGAACUGGAAAAUGGCCCACUUCCCACUGGCGAAAACUCAUGAAAUUUGGCAGGACGACCGGGCCUGGUGAAAAAUUCGAUAUUCCGAAGUCGCCCAAACAAGAAAAUGCAAAAUGGCUCCAUAGCGCCCCCUAAGGUGAAAAUUCACACUAUUGACUGUCACGCCUGUACGCUUUGUCAAAAUGACACAAAAAUUGACACACAUAUGUAUCUCAAUAAGAUCUACAAAAAAGUCAGUGCGGGCGUAUCUGUCAAAUGUACGGUUAAAGGGUUAUUUCGCAUUUUUUGCCGAUCCGCACACAUUGGAAUUUCGCUAACUCCUCCGAAGGCUUUCGUUCCACCGGCACCACAUUUGCUCAGGCCAAUCUACACCCCAUGGCCAUUAAAAGUUAUUCAAAUCAUGACGCUGCACCCCACGGUUUAGGUUCUAGGGGGCGCCAAAGAUAACCCUAAAAUCCACAUUUUUAAAAGUCUUAUAACUUUUUAUUUUUGCCCUCACUGGCCUCCAAGUUUUCUAGGAUGAUGCAAUGUCCAGCCAUCAACACAUUUGUGAAGGAAUUUUUACUCCCCAAAAGAGCGCCCCCCCAUGGCAGGAGAAAAAAGUCCAUUUUUUCUUGUCCCCUAAGGUGAAAAUACACAUUGUUGAGUGUCACGCCUGUACGCUUUGUCAAAAUGACACAAAAAUUGACACACACAUGUAUCUCAAUAAGAUCUACAAAAAAGUCCAUGCGCGCGUAUCUGUCUAAUGUACGGUUAAAGGGUUAUUCCGCAUUUUUUGCCGAUUCGCACACAUUGGAAUUUCGCUAACUCCUCCGAAGGCUUUCGUUCCACCGGCACCACAUUUGCUCAGGCCAAAUUACACCCCAUGGCCAUUAAAAGUUAUUCAAAUCAUGACGCUGCACCCUACGGUUUACGUUCUAGGGGGCGCCAAAGAUUACCCAAAAAUCCACAUUUUUAAAAGUGUUAUAACUUUUUAUUUUUGUCCUCACUGGCCUCCAAGUUUUCUAGGAUGAUGCAAUGUCCAGCCAUCAACACAUUUGUGAAGGAAUUUUUACUUCCUAAAAGAGCGCCCCCCCAUGGCAGGAGAAAAAAGUCCAUUUUUUCUUGUCCCCUAAGGUGAAAAUACACAUUGUUGACUGUCACGCCUGUACGCUUUGGCAAAAUGACACAAAAAUUGACAAUCAUGUGUAUCUCAAUUAGAUCUACGAAAAAGUCAAAGAGCGCGUAUCUGUAUAAUGUACGGUAAAAGGGCUAUUUUGCAUUUUUUGCCGAUUCGCACACAUUGGAAUUUCGCUAACUCCUCCUAAGGCUUUCGUCCCACUGACACCAAAUUUGCUCAGGCCAAUCUACACUCCAUGGCCAUUCAAAGUUGUAAAAAUCAUGACGCUGCACCCCACGGUUUACGUUUUAGGGGGCGCCAAAGAUGACCCAAAUAUACAUUACAGUAGACAAAGUAGUUUUGCCCACUGAGUGGCGCCAAAGGGACUUGUCUAUGGAGUCUGUGAGUCACUAUUGGCCGUUUUUGACUACUUUAGAUUUUACCUUUAUAUUUCCUCUUACAAAAUUUUUACCUUGCCUUGCCUGGUAUCAUUUUUUUCAGCACAACCUCACCUGUGUCAAUUUACAGUUAUUUUAUCAUUUUGACAUACUAUAUUUACACAUUGGACCCAAAUUCACACACAAAACAUAAAAUCCGAGUGGAAAAAAGUAACGUUUUUACUGUGAAAACCACAAAUAUGUGUGAUGAACUGUUUUUAAAACUUAAACUUCAAAUAAAAAUUGUAAACUUCAGAACAUAUGCAAAUUUUUAACAAAGAACAUAGUAAUUUACCUCUAUUUACAUCAAAAUGCAGGCAAUGGCCCAGGCGUUCUUUGUAAAAUUAUUUACAAAACACUGUAUAGUCUCACAAAUGUCACUUUUUAUUUAUGCCACUACAAAAAAACAUGAUGUAAAUGAUGCAUGAUGUAAAACAUGAUGUAAAAAACUUGUGUAGAUCCUCCUCUAUGUCAGUCCAUGUGUAAUUUUUCCAUAAUUCUUUGUUUUUUGCAGCAUUUUUGUUAGUGUAACUGCAGAUUGUGCUGACAGUGUCUAUGGCACAAAAAAAAAAAAAAAAUUAAAAUGCCUCAACAUGAACCCCUGGUGGUCUCUGAGGGUGAAACCUGCUAACUGCUGCAGCUCUGUCAGCUUCAGUCUCCCAUGCAGAGCUCUGAGCGCAUGUGUGGCUCUGCACCCUUAGCAGCGUUGCUAACUCCUCAGUAAGGAAAGCCUGCUUCAUGUCAGAGUCUCUAAACUCCAGAAGAAGUCGAUAAAAGUCCCUUUCUUUCUAAAAAAAAGUCGUUAGGGGGUCUGAAAAGUCAUUGAAUCUAACAACAAAGUCGCUAGGUUUGCAACUACGUGUCCCAGACUGCAUCCCUGCUGAGAGUCCCUCCCUCCCUUCUCAUGUCGCAGGAAGAACGUAAGCGCCCGCCCCUUGUCAAUCAGUCACCAUAUAAUGUUGGAUUGGUUGUUGUGGUGAAGUUUUCCACCAAUAGGAGAGAUGUUGUGGUGUGUUUUUUUUUUCUUUUGGCAAGCCUUUUCCGCCUGUAAGACCUGUCGCUAAUGUCUGCAUGCUAUGUUUUCCUGUCUCAUACAGCGCGAUCGAGCGCCGAACGUGAUCAAAAUAAGCAGAAAAAAAGUAUCGCGGACAUAAUUUAUCAUAACUCUGGUUUUAUUUGGCCUAUCAACACAAUUUAAAAACUGGUAUAUAGGUUGAGGUCCUCACUUUUGAGAUAAGUUGAAACGGAGAGUUAACGAGGCUCCGUCUUGCAGCUACAUCCGGUUAAAUAUGUCAUGUGACUUGAACGCUGGGGAGCGUCAAUCGAAUCGAAUCAAACCUAACUCUCAGAUGAAUCUUCAAAAUUCACCUCAGAAAUAUGCUUAUUAUUCUUCUCAGAGUACUGCAGGAUACACACACACACACACACUCACACAGACACACACACACACACACGCACACACACACACACACACACACACACACACACACACACACACACACACACACACACACACACUCAGAGUCUGUUUUUUAGCACCUGCAAAAACAUGCUAUUUACAUAUUUGACAAGAAUGCGGAGGCUUCCUUUUGCCCCUGAAAAAAAUCAGAUUUCAAACACAACUUGACUGGUCAUUUCUCCAAAAGACAACCAUGAAGCUCCAUCCAAACCUGAAGCAGGCAGUUGGUGCAUGUGUACAGUAACCUGAGGGGAGUGAGGUGACUGCUUCUGAGGAGAACAUGAGCACUGAAGAUUCACCUUGGAGCUAGAACAGGGACGUGCACAUGAUAAUACAGGGGCAGGGGCUCAAGUUUUUUCCAGUCGUUUAUACAAUAUGGAAAUUAAUGUGAAAUUAAAAAACAAAGUAUGACUGUCCUGUGUAGGUGACAGUGAUAUCCAAUAGGCUAGGCACUCACGAGGCUGGCUGUGGCAAGUGUAAGUGAAAGCAACACGCACUGGCAGGAAGAACAGCAAACGCCGAUGAAGGAAAAGGGUCUUUGCAGUGAUGGGCGUUACCAGAGAGGGCGAUGGCCAGAGGACACGAAUGGGACGGGGAGGCAGCGCGUUGGGGGGGGGGGGUGCGACACGGCUCGGGCCCGCCAGUGCCCCAACGGGGCCCUAGUUCUUUCUUUCUUCUUUUUCCUCCCCUUUGAACUGGAAAAUGGCCCACUUCCCACUGGCGAAAACUCAGGAAAUUUGGCAGGACGACCGGGCCUGGUGAAAAAUUUGAUAUUCCGAAGUCGCCCAAACAAGAAAAUGCAAAAUGGCUCCAUAGCGCCCCCUAAGGUGAAAAUUCACACUAUUGACUGUCACGCCUGUACGCUUUGUCAAAAUGACACAAAAAUUGACACACACAUGUAUCUCAAUAAGAUCUACAAAAAAGUCAGUGCGGGCGUAUCUGUCAAAUGUACGGUUAAAGGGUUAUUUCGCAUUUUUUGCCGAUCCGCACACAUUGGAAUUUCGCUAACUCCUCCGAAGGCUUUCGUUCCACCGGCACCACAUUUGCUCAGGCCAAUCUACACCCCAUGGCCAUUAAAAGUUAUUCAAAUCAUGACGCUGCACCCCACGGUUUAGGUUCUAGGGGGCGCCAAAGAUAACCCUAAGAUCCACAUAUUUAAAAGUAUUAUAACUUUUUAUUUUUGCCCUCACUGGCCUCCAAGUUUUCUAGGAUGAUGCAAUGUCCAGCCAUCAACACAUUUGUGAAGGAAUUUUUACUCCCCAAAAGAGCGCCCCCCCAUGGCAGGAGAAAAAAGUCCAUUUUUUCUUGUCCCCUAAGGUGAAAAUACACAUUGUUGAGUGUAACACCUGUACGCUUUGGCAAAAUGACACAAAAAUUGACACACACAUGUAUCUCAAUAAGAUCUACGAAAAAGUCAAUGCGCGCGUAUCUGUCAAAUGUACGGUUAAAGGGUUAUUCCGCAUUUUUUGCCGAUCCGCACACAUUGGAAUUUCGCUAACUCCUCCGAAGGCUUUCGUUCCACCGGCACCACAUUUGCUCAGGCCAAUCUACACCCCAUGGCCAUUAAAAGUUAUUCAAAUCAUGACGCUGCACCCCACGGUUUAGGUUCUAGGGGGAGCCAAAGAUAACCGUAAAAUCCACAUAUUUAAAAGUCUUUUAACUUUUUAUUUUUGUCCCCACUGGCCUCCAAGUUUUCUAGGAUGAUGCAAUGUCCAGCCAUCAACACAUUUGUGAAGGAAUUUUUACUCGGCAAAAGAGCGCCCCCCCAUGGCAGGAGAAAAAAGUCAAUUUUUUCUUGUCCACUAAGGUGAAAAUACACAUUGUUGAGUGCUACGCCUGUAUGUUUUGUCGUAUUGACACAAAAUUUUACAUACACGUGUAUUUCAAUAAGAUCUUCGAAAAAGUCAAUGGCCACGUAUCUGUAAAAUGUACGGUUAAAGGGUCAUUUCGCAUUUUUUGCAGAUUCGCACACAUUGGAAUUUCGCUAAUUCCUCCGAAGGCUUUCGUUCCACCGGCACCACAUUUGCUCAGGCCAAUCUACACCCCAUGGCCAUUAAAAGUUAUUCAAAUCAUGACGCUGCACCCCACGGUUUAGGUUCUAGGGGGCGCCAAAGAUAACCCUAAAAUCCACAUAUUUAAAAGUCUUAUAACUUUUUAUUUUUGUCCUCACUGGCCUCCAUGUUUUCUAGGAUGAUGCAAUGUCCAGCCAUCAACACAUUUGUGAAGGAGUUUUUUCUCUUUAAAAGAGCGCCCCCCCAUGGCAGGAGAAUAAAGUCAAGUUUUUCCUGUUCAUCAUUCAAUGGCUCAAACGCACUGCUCUCUCGGCAAAAGCGAAAGGAGGAGCAACUUGCCAUUUGGAUAUAUCUUAGCUGUGUUUGUGCCCUCACUCAUGGUCCAGACUUUUUUCAAAUAGGACAUGGAGUUUUUCUGCAGCGAGCGUUUUGGUAGAAACUGCGCCUCCCGUUCAUUAUAAUGGUAAAUGACCACAAACAAGUGCGCACACCAUCUUUGGACCUUGAGUGUGACGCGAUCGGGUGGGGGAGGCGGUCGCGCUGGGGGCGGCGUGACACGGCUCGGGCCCGCCAGUGCCCCAACGGGGUCCUAGUUCUUCUUUUUCCUCCCCUUUGAACUGGAAAAUGGCCCACUUCCCACUGGCGAAAACUCAUGAAAUUUGGCAGGACGACCGGGCCUGGUGAAAAAUUCGAUAUUCUGAAGUCGCCCAAACAAUAAAAUGCAAAAUGGCUCCAUAGCGCCCCCUAAGGUGGAAAUUCACACUAUUGACUGUCACGCCUGUACGCUUUGUCAUAUUGACACAAAAAUUGACACACAUAUGUAUCUCAAUAAGAUCUACAAAAAAGUCAGUGCGGCCGUAUCUGUCAAAUGUACGGUCAAAGGGUUAUUUCGCAUUUUUUGCCGAUCCGCACACAUUGGAAUUUCGCUAACUCCUCCGAAGGCUUUCGUUCCACCGGCACCACAUUUGCUCAGGCCAAUCUACACCCCGUGGCCAUUAAAAGUUAUCAAAAUCAUGACGCUGCACCCCAAGGUUUAGGUUCUAGGGGGCGCCAAAGAUAACACUAAAAUCCACAUAUUUAAAAGUCUUAUAACUUUUUAUUUUUGUCCUCACUGGCCUCCAAGUUUUCUAGGAUGAUGCAAUGUCCAGCCAUCAACACAUUUGUGAAGGAAUUUUUACUCCCCAAAAGAGCGCCCCCCCAUGGCAGAAGAAAAAAGUCCAUUUUUUCUUGUCCCCUAAGGUGAAAAUACACAUUGUUGAGUGUCACGCCUAUACGCUUUAUCAAAAUGACACAAAAAUUGACACACACAUGUAACUCAAUAAGAUCUACGAAAAAGUCAAUGUGCGCGUAUCUGUCAAAUUUACGGUUAAAGGGUUAUUUCGCAUUUUUUGCCGAUCCACACACAUCGGAAUUUCGCUAACUCCUCCGAAGGCUUUCGUUCCACCGGCACCACAUUUGCUCAGGCCAAUCUACACCCCGUGGCCAUUAAAAGUUAUCAAAAUCAUGACGCUGCACCCCAAGGUUUAGGUUCUAGGGGGCGCCAAAGAUAACACUAAAAUCCACAUAUUUAAAAGUCUUAUAACUUUUUAUUUUUGCCCUCACUGGCCUCCAAGUUUUCUAGGAUGAUGCAAUGUCCAGCCAUCAACACAUUUGUGAAGGAAUUUUUACUCCCCAAAAGAGCGCCCCCCCAUGGCAGGAGAAAAAAGUCCAUUUUUUCUUGUCCCCUAAGGUGAAAAUACACAUUGUUGAGUGUCACGCCUAUACGCUUUGUCAAAAUGACACAAAAAUUGACACACACAUGUAACUCAAUAAGAUCUAUGAAAAAGUCAAUGCACGCGUAUCUGUCAAAUGUACGGUUAAAGGGUUAUUUCGCAUUUUUUGCCGAUCCGCACACAUUGGAAUGUGGCUAACUCCUCCUAAGGCUUUCGUUCCACCGGCACCACAUUUGCUCAGGCCAAUCUACACCCCAUGGCCAUUAAAAGUUAUUCAAAUCAUGACGCUGCACCCCACGGUUUAGGUUCUAGGGGGCGCCAAAGAUAACCCUAAAAUCCACAUAUUUCAAAGUCUUAUAACUUUUUAUUUUUGUCCUCACUGGCCUCCAAGUUUUCUAGGAUGAUGCAAUGUCCAGCCAUCAACACAUUUGUGAAGGAAUUUUUACUCCCCAAAAGAGCGCCCCCCCAUGGCAGGAGAAAAAAGUCCAUUUUUUCUUGUCCCCUAAGGUGAAAAUACAUAUUGUUGAGAUUCACGCCUAUACGCUUUGUCAAAAUGACACAAAAUUUGACAAUCACGUGCCUUGCCUGGUAUCAUUUUUUUCAGCACAACCUCACCUGUGCGAAUUUACAGUUAUUUUAUCAUGUUGACAUACUGAAUUUACACAAUGGACCCAAAUUCACACACAAAACAUAAAAUCCGAGUGGAAAAAAGUAACAUUUUUACUGUGAAAACCACAAAUAUGUGUGAUGAACUGUUUUUAAAACUUAAACUUCAAAUAAAAAUUGUAAACUUCAAAACAUAUGCAAAUUUUUAACAAAGAACAUUGUGAUUUACCUCUAUUUACAUCAAAAUGCAGGCAAUGGCCCAGGCGUUCUUUGUAAAAUUAUUUACAAAACACUGUAUAGUCUCACAAAUGUCACUUUUUAUUUAUGCCACUACAAAAAAACAUGAUGUAAAUGAUGCAUGAUGUAAAACAUGAUGUAAAAAACUUGUGUAGAUCCUCCUCUAUGUCAGUCCAUGUGUAAUUUUUCCAUAAUUCUUUGUUUUUUGCAGCAUUUUUGUUAGUGUAACUGCAGAUUGUGCUGACAGUGUCUAUGGCACAAAAAAAAAAAAAUUUAAAAUGCCUCAACAUGAACCCCUGGUGGUCUCUGAGGGUGAAACCUGCUAACUGCUGCAGCUCUGUCAGCUUCAGUCUCCCAUGCAGAGCUCUGAGCGCAUGUGUGGCUCUGCACCCUUAGCAGCGUUGCUAACUCCUCAGUAAGGAAAGCCUGCUUCAUGUCAGAGUCUCUAAACUCCAGAAGAAGUCGAUAAAAGUCCCUUUCUUUCUAAAAAAAAGUCGUUAGGGGGUCUGAAAAGUCAUUGAAUCUAACAACAAAGUCGCUAGGUUUGCAACUACGUGUCCCAGACUGCAUCCC